GACGUAGGGGACGAGCGUUGUCCGGAUUCAUUGGGCGUAAAGCGCGCGUAGGCGGUUACGCAAGUCGGUUGUGAAAUCCGGGCUCAACCCGGACCUGCAUCCGAUACUGCGUGACUAGAGGUAGGUAGGGAGAUCGGAAUCCUGGUGUAGCGGUGAAAUGCGCAGAUAUCAGGAGGAACGACCGGUGGCGAAGGCGGAUCUCUGGGCCUUACCUGACGCUCAGGCGCGAAAGCUAGGGGAGCGAACAGG
rnacentral:rRNA from 1 species